rnacentral:rRNA from 1 species
UACGGAAGGCAGCAGGGGGAAUAUUGCACAAUGGGCGCAAGCCUGAUGCAGCCAUGCCGCAUGUAUGAAGAAGGCCUUCGGGUUGUAAAGUACUUUCAGUCGUGAGGAAGGUGUUAAGGUUAAUAACCUUAGCAAUUGACGUUAGCGACAGAAGAAGCACCGGCUAACUCCGUGCCAGCAGCCGCGGUAAUACGGAGGGUGCGAGCGUUAAUCGGAAUUACUGGGCGUAAAGGGCACGCAGGCGGUUAAUUAAGUUGGAUGUGAAAUCCCCGGGCUUAACCUGGGAAUGGCAUUCAAGACUGGUUAGCUAGAGUCUUGUAGAGGGGGUAGAAUUCCAUGUGUAGCGGUGAAAUGCGUAGAGAUGUGGAGGAAUACCGGGUGGCGAAGGCGGCCCCUGGGACAAAGACUGACGCUCAUGUGCGAAAGCGUGGGGAGCAAACGAGGAUUAGAUACC